rnacentral:rRNA from 1 species
CAACGCCGCGUGGAGGAUCGAAGAAUUCGGUUCGUAAACUCCUUCGACCGAGAUGAAACCCAGGGACUUAAUACAUCCUUGGACUGACAGUAUCGAGAGAAGAAGCCCCGGCUAACUCUGUGCCAGCAGCCGCGGUAAUACAGGGGGGGCAAGCGUUGUUCGGAAUUACUGGGCGUAAAGGGUUCGUAGGUGGCCAACUAAGUCAGACGUGAAAUCCCUCAGCUUAACUGGGGAACUGCGUCUGAUACUGGUUGGCUUGAGUGCAGGAGAGGAAUGCGGAAUUCCAGGUGUAGCGGUGAAAUGCGUAGAUAUCUGGAGGAACACCGGUGGCGAAGGCGGCAUUCUGGACUGUAACUGACACUGAGGAACGAAAGCCAGGGGAGCAAACGGGAUUAGAUACCCCGGUAGUCCUGGCCCUAAACGAUGAAUGCUUGGUGUGGCGGGUAUCGAUCCCUGCCGUGCCGAAGUUAACGCAUUAAGCAUUCCGCCUGGGGAGUACGGUCGCAAGGCUG